GAACCAUUUCACAUAAGUCAUCUCAAUUUCCAGCUCACUACACGACUGCACCCAAUUUUGAAAAAUAUGCACCAACAUGCAGAAGUUUUACCUCAAAGAAAUAAAUGACUUCACGAUGGUGCACGAUGUAUAGAUAGCUAAAUCUAGUAAACUAUCAAAUGGAAUACAAAUAAAAAAGGGAGGUCUUUGCUCACCAUAGACUGUCUUCUUGGAC
rnacentral:misc_RNA from 1 species